rnacentral:rRNA from 1 species
UACGUAGGCAGCGAGCGUUGUUCGGAGUUACUGGGCGUAAAGGGUGUGUAGGCGGUCCUCUAAGUUUGGUGUGAAAUCUCCCGGCUCAACUGGGAGGGUGCGCCGAAUACUGGAAGGCUAGAGUGUGGGAUGGGAGAGUGGAAUUCCCGGUGUAGCGGUGAAAUGCGCAGAUAUCAGGAAGAAUAUCCGUGGCGAAGGCGGCUCUCUGGGACGGUACUGACGCUGAGACGCGAAAGCGUGGGGAGCGAACAGG